rnacentral:rRNA from 1 species
CAGCCGCCGCGGGAAUACAGAGGGUGCGAGCGUUAAUCGGAUUUACUGGGCGUAAAGCGUGCGUAGGCGGCUUCUUAAGUCGGAUGUGAAAUCCCUGAGCUUAACUUAGGAAUUGCAUUCGAUACUGGGAAGCUAGAGUAUGGGAGAGGAUGGUAGAAUUUCAGGUGUAGCGGUGAAAUGCGUAGAGAUCUGGAGGAAUACCGAUGGCGAAGGCAGCCAUCUGGCCUAAUACUGACGCUGAGGUACGAAAGCAUGGGGAGCAAACAGGAUUAGAUACCCCGGUAGUCCCUGUCUCUUAUAC